CGCGGCCUAUCAGCUUGUUGGUGAGGUAACGGCACACCAAGGCAUCGACGGGUAGCUGGUCUGAGAGGAUGAUCAGCCACACUGGUACUGGAACACGGACCAGACUCCUACGGGAGGCAGCAGUGAGGAAUAUUGGGCAAUGGGCGAAAGCCUGACCCAGCCACGCCGCGUGUGUGGUGAAGGCCUUCGGGUCGUAAAGCACUGUGGGGAGGGACGAACAAGCGCAUCAGGAAAUGGGUGCGCCCUGACGGUACCUCCUUAGCAAGCACCGGCUAACUCUGUGCCAGCAGCCGCGGUAAUACAGAGGGUGCGAACGUUGCUCGGAUUUACUGGGCGUAAAGCGCGUGUAGGCGGACUCGCAAGUCGGUUGUGAAAUCCCUGGGCUCAACCUAGGAACUGCAUCCGAAACUGCUUGUCUUGAGUAAUGGAGAGGGUGGCGGAAUUCCCGGUGUAGAGGUGAAAUUCGUAGAUAUCGGGAGGAACAUCAGUGGCGAAGGCGGCCACCUGGACAUUCACUGACGCUGAGACGCGAAAGCGUGGGGAGCAAACAGGAUUAGAUACCCUGGUAGUCCACGCCGUAAACGAUGAGCACUAGGUGCAGCGGAUAUUGACCUCUGCUGUACCGUAGCUAACGCGUUAAGUGCCCCGCCUGGGGAGUACGG
rnacentral:rRNA from 1 species